rnacentral:rRNA from 1 species
UACGUAGGGUGCGAGCGUUAUCCGGAAUCAUUGGGUUUAAAGGGUCCGUAGGCGGUUUUAUAAGUCAGUGGUGAAAUCUGGUCGCUCAACGAUCAAACGGCCAUUGAUACUGUAAGACUUGAAUUACUUGGAAGUAACUAGAAUAUGUAGUGUAGCGGUGAAAUGCUUAGAGAUUACAUGGAAUACCAAUUGCGAAGGCAGGUUACUACAAGUGGAUUGACGCUGAUGGACGAAAGCGUGGGGAGCGAACAGG